rnacentral:tRNA from 1 species
GGUUGUGGUUCAGUGGUAGAGUGCUUGCCUAGCACAUGUGAAGCCCUGGGUUCGAUCCUCAGAACCA